GUCAGAGAAAGACAAAUAUCAGAACAAGACAGGGAUGUCUGCUUUUACCACUCUUAUGCAACAUAAUAUGGGAAAUCCUAGCCACAGAAAUCACACUACAAGAAA